CGGAUGUGUUGCAGACCCUCCAGCAUUUCUGCUUCCAGGUAAAACCUGCACAUGUGGGGAAUGUGUGGCAUUGUAAUGUCAGUCCUCCCUUCAGUUGCUGUCACUUGAAAGAAAAUGUGUUUGUUUAACAAACAUAAAUUGAGUGCCUAGUGUGUACCCACACUUCUAGAUCCUGCUGUUGCUGCAGCCACAGCUGUGAUUAGGGCAAGUCUCAGCUCCCCUGGAGUGAGUGCUCCUGUGGGCCAUCAGGUGACAUGGGGACAGAUGCCACAGGGGAGUGUAGAGGAGGGGCCAGGGAGCGCUGUGGGAGUGAGGCUCUCUGAGAAGGUGAUGCAUGAGCCAAGGCCCAGGGUUGGGGUGGGGUGGCGCCUGGGUGAGUGGAUCAGGUAGGGAGGCAGCUGGGCUGGCAUGGGAAUGAGGCAGGAGGCCCAGCCGUGGGGAACUGGAGGUCCUGCCUUUUUGAGACGGAAGCCACUGAACAGGUGAGGACUGAAGUUUAGAGUUUGGAUGGUUUACUGCCUUUGAUUGGCACACAGCCGCCGGUGUAUGUACGUUGUGUGUGUGCAAUGGUGAGGCCACUGUGCACCCGGUGGCUGGCUUCUCAUGAGUUUAACACACACUCACCACACCAGUCAGCCCUCACGUCUUUACCCUGGAUCCUUUUCUAGAAAGGAUCUGGAAAGUAAACAUUUUAGACUUUGAGGGCCACAGUCACUGUCCCUGUUCCUCUCUGUGGUUGUCCUGCCAGACACACACCAUGAGUUUACAAAGACAGGCGGCGGGUGGAUGUGGCCUGGGGCCUGUUUGCCAAUGCCAGCCCCAGAAAAUAAAACUUAUGUUUGCAUAAAUACCUAUACACAGAUAUUUCUACCCAGGCAUAAUCACCAAGUGCUGGAAGCAACACAAGCGUCCUUCAAUGGUGAACGGAUGGCAGGGCCCCCAGAAGACCACACGAAAGUCGUGUAGAGAAGACGUCAGGUGAGCUCUGGGAUGAGGAAUCUUCAGAGGAGGCGAAGAUUCCUCUGAAUCCUCCGAGGAGGCGAAGAUUCCUCUGAAUCCUCCUUCAGAGGAGUCUGGGGGUGGGAGGGCACAGGGCAUGGGGUAUCCAGGAGCCAAGCAAAGUGGGGGUUUCCGGGAGAAGGACUGAGGCACCCUCAAGGCUGCAGAUGGGGCGUCAGAUGUCGGGGAGAACGAGCUGGAGAUGGACACGGACAUGGAGGUGUGGAUGGCCCUGGGGAGGCCCCCUGGCAGCUGGUGGAUGGCAGGAGCAGCGUGGACAGCAGGAGCAGCAUGAACUGCAGGAGCGGCGUGGGAUGAGAGAGCCAUGCACAGUUCUUCCUCCUGCUGAGAGAACAGAUCCUGUGUGACCUUCACACCUUCAUUAUUGGAAACUGCUAAUGUGUGUUCCUUUUGAAAUGUGCAAGAUGUUGGACGUGAUAAACUGAGGAAAGAUUAAGGUGAGUAACUCCUUUGUUUAAACUUUGGCUUCAUGGGUAGUCUUAUUAAGGGAAGGGAUUUAAAGUGCUUAAAAAUUCAAUAGGACAAAGGGCAUGCUGUGGUUCAAGAAGUGACGUAUUGCCAUACAGGAUGCAGUCUGUUCCAACGGCCAUAAAGCAGUCAUCUGAGCUCGCUGUGGUUGGAGCCGGCCAAUUAUAACACCUCCUGAAGACACAGGGACGCAAUCUGCACGCUCCUGCAGGCCCCUGGGACGGCUUGGCUGGCAGCUCGGACAGCUGGGCUCUUCCAGGUGCUUCCAAGCCCCCUUACAUCCUGUCAAGGUCAUCCUACCCAUUCCCCCGUGGCCGUCUCCCCAGCCAGUGGCUAAAGUCACCGGCAGACCAGCCAUUAAAGAUGGGACGCCACUUGCUUCCCUUCAACAU